UCAAUACAAGGAUAGGCCAUCUCCAGAAUGUGUGUGUGUGUGUGUGUAAUACCAGUACAUACUGCGCUGACAAAUGACUAAUGUGCACUAACAACUCUGCAAUCAGUCAUUCCAAUCCGUUCACAUAGAAAAAAGAAUCAGAAUGGCCAUCUCCAUGGCAACAUUGAUUGGAAGAUGCAUAGUGGCCACAACACACCAGACUCAUCAUCACAUAUGACUCCUACCUCUGAGAGAACGCAGCGUGAAUCACACGUAUGGUUUCCACAGCAAAAACAGGAAUCUGGGCUAUUCACACUUGAAGCGCUUGUGUAGCCAUAUUCCACAACCAAUGUCUCAAAUGUAUUCAGCUAGACACCGUCCUCAGUCUGGUCGCAGGUGCAGAGAAGAGAGGAGAGCGGUUCCGAUUCCCAUUUCAUACUUUGAAAAAUAUCAUGUGAAAGCUGUGGCUUGAGAAAUACCAUAACCAAUGAAAUAUGAACAUCAACUUUGUCAUGGGAAGACGUGAGACAUUUGGAGGACAGGACAUGAAUGACGUUUCAGACACAUAAAUGACGUUUAAGAGACAGAAACCCCAUGAAGAUGUAUGCAGUGCACCCAGGUGAGGUGAGGUGGCGUGAAUGAACCAGCAGGUGGCGCAACAUGGAGAAUGGGCAUGCAGUGGGAAAAUGACACACAAUGUGGAGUGGAAUGAAUUUCUUUUCUUUUUUUUUUAAAGAAAGGAAGACCAAAAAAACACAAGCAGACACAAUGACAGCCCAAGCAUUCUCUUUUUUUCGUGCCCUUCAUUAGAGGAUCCAGUGAUGAAGUCGUGAUUACACUGUGCACAGGGUUGCCUAUACUACAAAGCUGCUUCAGGAGUAACUCAAGUUAAGUUAAAGGUGGGGUUGCAGGUAUGACAUCACAUUGGGGGAACUCCACCAGGAUUCUAAGGU